rnacentral:rRNA from 1 species
CUCUUUAUGAAAUCCAGUGGCAAACGGGUGAGUAACACGUAAACAACCUGCCUUCAGGAUGGGGACAACAGACGGAAACGACUGCUAAUACCGAAUACGAUUCUUGAGUCGCAUGACACAAGAAAGAAAGGGUGGCCUCUACUUGUAAGCUAUCGCCUGAAGAGGGGUUUGCGUCCGAUUAGGUAGUUGGUGAGGUAACGGCCUACCAAGCCGACGAUCGGUAGCCGGUCUGAGAGGAUGAACGGCCACAUUGGAACUGAGACACGGUCCAGACUCCUACGGGAGGCAGCAGUGGGGAAUCUUCCGCAAUGGGCGAAAGCCUGACGGAGCAACGCCGCGUGAGUGAAGACGGCCUUCGGGUUGUAAAGCUCUGUGAUUCGGGACGAAAGAUAAGUAGACGAAUAAUCUGCAUAAGUGACGGUACCGAAAAAGCAAGCCACGGCUAACUACGUGCCAGCAGCCGCGGUAAUACGUAGGUGGCAAGCGUUGUCCGGAAUUAUUGGGCGUAAAGCGCGCGCAGGCGGCUACUUAAGUCCAUCUUAAAAGUGCGGGGCUUAACCCCGUGAUGGGAUGGAAACUGAGAAGCUGGAGUGUCGGAGAAGAANNUGGAAUUCCU